GAAAUGAAUAGAAGUUCAGCCCUUUAAGUUAUUCCCACUCACUGAUGCUUUAAGCUAAAAUUAAGAUCAAGGAAACUAAAGGAGUUAAUCAAAAGAGGUACAGCUCUUUUGAUAAAAGAAACAACUUUAUUAGGUGAUUUAAGAUCAUAAUAUUUAAGGAUCCAAAUUAAGUGGGCCUAAAGGCAGCCAUCUUAUAAAGAAAGCGUUACAGCUCAAAUUAACCCUAAUCCGUAUAUAAUGAUAUUCUAUCUUAAUCCCUCCCCAAUAUCAGGCCUUCUUACGCCCCCGUAAGAACGAUUAUGCUAAAAUGAGUAAUAAGAAAAACAUAAUUUUCUCCUAGCACAUGUGUAAGUCGGAUCGGACUACCCACCGACCAUUAACCGACCCCAAAUAAAGAGGGACAUAAGCCAUAAAACAAGAAAAACACUUAACUUAUAUCGUUAAUUCAACACAGGAGUGCCCCCAGGAAAGACUAAAAGAGGAAGGAAGGAACUCGGCAAACGCAAGCCUCGCCUGUUUACCAAAAACAUCGCCUCUUGACCCUAAAAUAUAAGAGGUCCCGCCUGCCCACUGACUAUAUGUUCAACGGCCGCGGUAUUUUAACCGUGCAAAGGUAGCGUAAUCACUUGUCUUUUAAAUGAAGACCUGUAUGAAUGGCAUCACGAGGGCUUAACUGUCUCCCCCCUCCAGUCAAUGAAAUUGACCUCCCCGUGCAGAGGCGGGGAUACCCCUAUAAGACGAGAAGACCCUGUGGAGCUUUAGACCUAAAAUAAAUUAUGUUCAACACUCUGCAAAACCAGUAAAAACUUAAUAAUACUUAUUCAAGUGUCUUUGGUUGGGGCGACCGAGGGGAAAAACACAACCCCCAUGUGGACCGGGGAUAUUAUCCCUAACACUCAGAGCCACUACUCCAAGUAACAGAAAUUCUGACCUUCUGAUCCGGUAUAACCGAUCAACGAACCGAGUUACCCCAGGGAUAACAGCGCAAUCCCCUCUAAGAGCCCUUAUCGACAAGGGGGUUU
rnacentral:rRNA from 1 species